ACAUUGUCCUAGAGCACGCGCGCAGUCCGCUCUUCUCCAACGGCUAAGCGGCUCGUAUUUCGUCGCUUGUAACAAAAAAUAACGAAAUGCCGUAGGACAGAGAAUUUAAACACCGAAAAUAUUGUAGAACAUAAAACUUCAUAAAUGGGAUUGUCUUAGCGAAUUACUCGAGUGGAGCGAAAGACUAGUUGCAUCCAAACGAGGUAGAUGAAAGGGAGCUAGAGACAAUGAAUCACUACCACAAGGUGCACACUUUUGUGUGUGUUGCAAGUUGCUUACUGAGAUGACUAUGGAACUGGAACAGACAGACAAACAACAGGGGAAAAUAAAGUAAAACUGUAUUUAAUUAACCGACAUUGCAAUUACAAAUUCAGUGUGCUUCGCACGAGUGGCCGAGCGGCGCUAAGAAGGCAAGCAAGAAGCGAGAAGAACGGAUAUAACCUACAAAAGACAGACAAGUUUUGCUACAACUCCACACAAUACGACAGAGAGUAAAAAAGAAGACAGUAGCGGGGAUCCAACAGCAAAAGUAAGUAAAACGUUAACUUCUGCAGACAAUGAGAAAUCUACGAUAUAAACAACACAGAAGCAGAAAAAGAUGACAUUCAGCAAACAAAACAAAAACUGCGUAGCAAAGUUGUAAUGGCGCUAGGUAAGGGAAAAAAUAAAAUAAGUAAGAAAUAAAAAGAAAAAAUACUAAAAAAAAAAAAAUAAAACGAAAAAGUGGUAAAUAGAGGAACGCUUUUGUUUACUGUUUCGACAAUUCACACCUCUAAGGACUUGGAUUUGGCCAACGCAACGCAACAAACACACAUGCAGUCGCCACAGUUGCAGAAGUCCUUUGUAAAUACGCCAGCGAAAAGGAGUGUCGAAAAAGUUGUUUGACAGUAUCGAGGCUAAUAUAGUGGUUACAGAUGGUGAUUAGUUGAAGACCCGAUUAAGGCCUCGAUAAAAUAGGAACGAAGUGAAACACCGAUUGAAAGAAGUUGGGCAGAUUAUUUUCGAGUAGAAGGCGCUGGAUAUAUGGUAAGGUAGAACGACAGACAGCCAGUGAAUCCUCCUUAUGAAUAUCAGUCAAUAUUACAACAUUUGCCAAUAUUACAACAUUUGGGAAGAAGAAAGUGUCAGCUGAAGUUUGAAUUUGUCGGUACUUGUGAUAUCAGCCCUAACGGACAUUUGACGAUGUUUGACGAUAUUUGGCCGAAAGCGCGAACAAAGAAGAUGAAAUAAGAAACAAACCUACCAUUGAGUCCAGUGUCGGAUUCACAUAUAUGCGGUUCAUUUCUUGCGGCUUUCAAUGAACGAAUGAAUGAAUUAGUGAACAUGCAAGCAUAACAAUGGAAACUAUGGAAUGAAGGAAUGAAAGAACUGACCGACUUGUCGCCAGUAGGCCUUUUGUUGUGCUACAAUCUCAUUUUUGUUGCGGCCAUGCUUGCGUUGAGUGACGCGGUUAAAGCACAAUGUGGCACAACAAAAAAUGAGAGAAAUGAAAAAUGUAUGCGAAGAAACAACGGUAAACAAAGAAACACACAGAUAAACAAAAGUUUCGCGUGGAAAUUUUCGCCAAAUAAAUUUAAAGCAUUUUCAGCUGCCGCUUUUACGUUAAAAGUAGAGAGAAAAGAAGAAGAAGAGGAAGACGAGCGGCAGCAACAGAAGACUUUUGUGCUGUUUAAACAUUGACAAGGACACCGAGCAAUUGUAGACAGACGCACACACACACACGCACAAAUUCACCAGCAUUUAAAUAAGAGUGCAUGCAACUCACAAGGACACUAGGAUGAGUAGAUUCGUAUGAAAGACAAAUUAGGGUGAAGCUUAAAAAAGUAAAUGAAUUGCUGCAGAGACAGCGUUUAAGCGUACCGAGACUUUGCAAGGACACUGUUAAAUAAAUGUAAAGGAUAUGUGUUAAUUGUGAGUAAUUAGAAACUUGAGUCUCAAUAAAUGAUUUGUUUGCU